rnacentral:rRNA from 1 species
AUGAACGCUGGCGGCGUGCCUAAUACAUGCAAGUCGAGCGAACAGAUGAGGAGCUUGCUCCUCUGAUGUUAGCGGCGGACGGGUGAGUAACACGUGGAUAACCUACCUAUAAGACUGGGAUAACUUCGGGAAACCGGAGCUAAUACCGGAUAAUAUAUUGAACCGCAUGGUUCAAUAGUGAAAGACGGUUUUGCUGUCACUUAUAGAUGGAUCCGCGCCGCAUUAGCUAGUUGGUAAGGUAACGGCUUACCAAGGCAACGAUGCGUAGCCGACCUGAGAGGGUGAUCGGCCACACUGGAACUGAGACACGGUCCAGACUCCUACGGGAGGCAGCAGUAGGGAAUCUUCCGCAAUGGGCGAAAGCCUGACGGAGCAACGCCGCGUGAGUGAUGAAGGUCUUCGGAUCGUAAAACUCUGUUAUUAGGGAAGAACAAAUGUGUAAGUAACUAUGCACGUCUUGACGGUACCUAAUCAGAAAGCCACGGCUAACUACGUG